rnacentral:rRNA from 1 species
UACGGGGGGGGCAAGCGUUGUUCGGAUUUACUGGGCGUACAGGGAGCGUAGGCGGUUGGAUAAGCCCUCCGUGAAAUCUCCAGGCUUAACCUGGAAGGUGCAGAGGGGACUGUUCAGCUAGAGGAUGGGAGAGGAGCGCGGAAUUCCCGGUGUAGCGGUGAAAUGCGUAGAGAUCGGGAGGAAGGCCGGUGGCGAAGGCGGCGCUCUGGAACAUUUCUGACGCUGAGGCUCGAAAGCGUGGGGAGCAAACAGG